rnacentral:rRNA from 1 species
UACAGAGGUCUCAAGCGUUGUUCGGAUUCAUUGGGCGUAAAGGGUGCGUAGGCGGCGCGGUAAGUCGGGUGUGAAAUCUUGGAGCUUAACUCCGAAACUGCAUUCGAUACUGCCGUGCUUGAGGACUGGAGAGGAGACUGGAAUUUACGGUGUAGCGGUGAAAAUGCGUAAAUAUCGUAAGGAAGACCAGUGGCGAAGGCGGGUCUCUGGACAGUUCCUGACGCUGAGGCACGAAGGCCAGGGGAGCAAACGGG